CGGUGGUCACACACCUCAGGACACACUGGAUCAGAUGCAUAAUUUAUCUGGACGACAUUCUCCUAUUCUGCAGAAUGAGGGAACUGGCCGUUCAACAUACCACAUAUACAGUACGACUAUCAGAAUCCUUGGGCUUCGUUGUGGCGAAACCAACCUCGCCACUGUGAACUGGAGAAGCCUGGUUGCUCGCCUGCUCCCUUUGGACUAU